GGUCGGUAUACAGGUGGUGCAUGGCUGUCGUCAGCUCGUGUCGUGAGAUGUUGGGUUAAGUUCCGCAACGAGCGCAACCCCUAUCUUAUGUUGCCAGCACGUUAUGGUGGGGACUCGUAAGAGACUGCCGGGGUCAACUCGGAGGAAGGUGGGGACGACGUCAAGUCAUCAUGCCCCUUAUGUCCAGGGCUUCACACAUGCUACAAUGGCCAGUACAGAGGGCUGCGAGACCGUGAGGUGGAGCGAAUCCCUUAAAGCUGGUCUCAGUUCGGAUCGGGGUCUGCAACUCGACCCCGUGAAGUCGGAGUCGCUAGUAAUCGCAGAUCAGCAACGCUGCGGUGAAUACGUUCCCGGGCCUU
rnacentral:rRNA from 1 species